UACGUAGGGUGCAAGCGUUAUCCGGAAUUAUUGGGCGUAAAGAGCUCGUAGGCGGUUUGUCGCGUCUGCUGUGAAAACCGGAGGCUCAACCUCCGGCCUGCAGUGGGUACGGGCAAACUAGAGUGCGGUAGGGGAGAUUGGAAUUCCUGGCGUAGCGGUGGAAUGCGCAGAUAUCAGGAGGAACACCGAUGGCGAAGGCAGAUCUCUGGGCCGUAACUGACGCUGAGGAGCGAAAGCGUGGGGAGCAAACAGG
rnacentral:rRNA from 1 species